rnacentral:rRNA from 1 species
UACGAAGGGGGCGAGCGUUGUUCGGAUUUACUGGGCGUAAAGGGCGCGCAGGCGGCUCAUUUUGUCAGGCGUGAAAGCCCCGGGCUUAACCUGGGAACUGCGUUUGAUACGGAUGGGCUAGAGUUCGGGAGAGGAGAGUGGAAUUCCGGGUGUAGUGGUGAAAUGCGUAGAUAUCGGGAGGAACACCAGUGGCGAAGGCGGACUACCUGGCCCACUCUUGACGCUGAGGCGCGAAAAGCUAGGGGAGCAAACGGGG